rnacentral:lncRNA from 1 species
AGUCCUGCCAACAGCUGUGAGUGAGCAUGGACGCAGAUCCUCUCCCAGUGGAGCAUUUGGAUGACCACGGCUCUGGCUAACACCUCACUUACAGCCUUGGGAGAGAUUCUGAGUCAGAGGCAUCCAGCUAAAUUGACCCACAGACACGGUCCCGGUUUAUGACUGCAAAACAAUGGUUUAAACAGUAUUCAUUCUGGAACAUCACUCAAUUUCACUAAUACUAGAUCCCAAACACUCUGAUAUCAGAAUGUUCUUCCCUAUUCGGGCUAGUUUAUAAAGUUCAUUUGAGAGUAUUCUGAAAUUAAAUAAAACAAACCUAAAACAGUAAGACUGCAUAUUGGAAAAUGAUACUGUGUAUAAUUUUUGAGACAUCUAGCAAUCAGAUGACUAUGCCACCAUUUCAUUCUUUAAUCUCAGCAUUUUGGGAGGCCGAGGUGGGCAGAUCAUGAGGUCAGGAGAUCCAGACUGUCCUCGCUAACACGGUGAAACCCCAUCUCCACUAAAAAUACAAAAAAUUAGCCGGGUGUGGUGGCAGGCACCUGUAGUCCCAGCUACUAGGGAGGCUGAAGCAGGAGAAUGGCAUGAACCCAGGAGGCGGAGAUUGCAGUGAGCUCCCGCGCCACUGCACUCCAGCCUGGGUGACAGAGCGAGA